AGGGGAGGUCAAACCAACGAGAACUGCUAACUCCCGCCUCUGAGCUUAAAACCUACGCCCCUU
rnacentral:tRNA from 1 species